rnacentral:rRNA from 1 species
UGCAUCGAUGAAGAACGCAGCGAAAUGCGAUAAGUAAUGUGAAUUGCAGAAUUCAGUGAAUCAUCGAAUCUUUGAACGCACCUUGCGCUCCAUGGUAUUCCGUGGAGCAUGCCUGUUUGAGUGUCAUGAAUACUUCAACCCUCCUCUUUCUUAAUGAUUGAAGAGGUGUUUGGUUUCUGAGCGCUGCUGGCCUUUACGGUCUAGCUCGUUCGUAAUGCAUUAGCAUCCGCAAUCGAACUUCGGAUUGACUUGGCGUAAUAGACUAUUCGCUGAGGAAUUCUAGUCUUCGGAUUAGAGCCGGGUUGGGUUAAAGGAAGCUUCUAAUCAGAAUGUCUACAUUUUAAGAUUAGAUCUCAAAUCAGGUAGGACUACCCGCUGAACUUAAGCAUAUCAAUAAGCGGAGGA